CCUACGGGAGGCUGCAGUGAGGAAUAUUGGUCAAUGGACGCAAGUCUGAACCAGCCAUGCCGCGUGCAGGAAGACGGCUCUAUGAGUUGUAAACUGCUUUUGUACGAGGGUAAACGCAGAUGCGCGUAUCUGUCUGAAAGUAUCGUACGAAUAAGGAUCGGCUAACUCCGUGCCAGCAGCCGCGGUAAUACGGAGGAUUCAAGCUUUGUCCGGAUUUAUUGGGUUUAAGGGGUGCGUAGGGGGUCGGAAAAGUUAGUGGUCAAAUUGAGGGGCUCAACCCCUGCCCGCCAUUGAAACUGGCGGUCUUGAGUAGAAGAGAAGUAUGCGGAAUGCGUGGUGUAGCGGUGAAAUGCGUAGAUAUCGCGAAGAACCCUGAUUGCGAAGGCAGCAUGCUGGCUUCCGACUGACGCUGAAGCACGAAGGCGUGGGGAUCGAAAAGGAUUAGAUACCCGUGUAGUC
rnacentral:rRNA from 1 species